CAUCGCCUCUUGCAACCAUAAGAGGUCCAGCCUGCCCAGUGAUCUAAUUCAACGGCCGCGGUAUCCUAACCGUGCAAAGGUAGCGUAAUCACUUGUUUUCUAAAUAAAGACUAGUAUGAAAGGCAUCACGAGGACUUAACUGUCUCCUUUCUCCAAUCAGUGAACCUAAUCUUCCCGUGAAAAAGCGGGAAUCCACCUAUAAGACGAGAAGACCCUGUGGAGCUUUAAACAUAAUAACACCUGCCACCAUCUCUAACAACCCCGGUACCUCCUUCAAGCGGCACCCUGAUUAUAUGUUUUUGGUUGGGGCGACCGCGGAGAAAAACUCAUCCUCCGCAAUGAACGGGACUUCUUCCUUAAACAAUAAGUCACAACUUUACGUAUUAAAAAAUUAACAUUCCUUGACCCAAUAAAUUGAUUAAUGAACCAAGUUACCCUAGGGAUA
rnacentral:rRNA from 1 species